GGUAAAGUAGGCUUUACUGGGCUCUCUGACACUGGGACAGGCUGAUCUCACUUUAGCUUCAAGGAGAUUGGUGAAGGGUGGAAGAAGGGGAGAGAUUCACAAACAAAGGAGGGCAACAGGGCCCCCUGCCCUUGACAAUGAAUUUGCCACUUAAUCCACUCCAUCCUGGAGGGGCUUCAAGAGGUGGCUCUCCUAGUCCCACUCCCUCCUAAGCUUGGCAUACUCUAGGAGACAGGUGUAGAUUCAACAUCUAAGAAGUCAAGACAUCAACUUAUCCAUUGGCUAUGCUUUGGAGGCAUGAAUCUCUAGGAUGUUUCUUGCUGAAGAGUCAGUGUGGUAUAGAUGAGGAUAGAAUUCUAGACUGGUAAUAGGCCUGCUUCUGCUACUAAAUGACCUUUAGCUUUUUCCUUUUAGAACAUGAGGGAUUGGAACUAGCUGGUCUCUAAGAUCUCUUCCCCACUCUGACAUUCUUUGGUGUUCUCAUUCUUCUUCCUCCUACCUCCUUGAUAUGGGUCUAACCAGAGGAAAUACUGGUGUCUGGCCUUGGAAUGGGAUGACUUUAGAGUAGUCCAGUUAGGGAAUCUCAAAAGAGAGAGCCAAUGGGCCACCAACCUGUGAGAUUGAAGUUCCUGAUGGAAUUUCCUCCUUCCCUAGAAAUGGGAAAGCUCCCUAGAGAAUGGACCCUGGAGUCAGGAAGGCUUCUCUUCCUGAGUUCAAAUCAGUCCUCAAACACUUACUAGCUGUGUGACUUGGGGCAAGUCAUUUAACCCUGUUUGCCUCAGUUUCUUCAUCUGUAAAAUGAGCUGGAUGAGGAAACAGCAAACCACUAGUAUCUUUGCCAAGAAAGCCCCAAAUAGGGACACAAAGAAUCGUACAUGACUGAAACAACAACAAAAACAACAAAAAGUGGGGGGAGUUGGACCUGUAAGGUCCCUCUCCCUCAAUGAACCUUUGUUAUCUGAUCCCCACAAGGGGGGUGUCAAGGAGGCAGCCAAUGGAGUAGAAUAACAAACACUAGAAUUUCGAAUCUGAAGAUUCCUGUUAGAAUCUUUGCUCUAUUGUUUACUUACUGAGCUUGACCUUGACCAAGCCUUGAUGUCGGCUUUGGUAUCUUUAACUGUGAAAUAAGGAGUUAGGGCUAGAUAAUCUCCAAGGACCUUCUAGCUCUAGACACUAAAAAUAGGCCCAGACAGAGGUUUUCGUAAGGGAGGAAGCUCUGGGGGAAAAUAGUUGAAAACUGGCAACUGUAGUUAGUGAUAGGGUAGGGAGUGCUGGCAGUGAGAGCGGCUUCAGUUUUCAGGUAUUUUUUCAAUUAAAUGAGAAUAAAAAUGAGGACAAGUCUUUUCUUCUAAGACCACUGAGACACCAGAAAGUCUCUACCCAGGGCCAAAAUCACAUUCCUAGACCUGCACCCUGGACUCUGGACUCUGCCUGGAUGAAUCAAGGGGCGGAAAUCCCCCAGGGAGGAGUGAUCUGCCAAAUACUUCAAGGAUAUCAAAGGAAUUCCACCCGUUGGCAUAACACCUGCACUGUAUGCACAGCCCUGGCCUGAAUGCCCUGGCGAUGGGGGCAGAAGAAAUUACAAACAUGGAAAGAUUCCUGUCUAGUGAGAGAGGUACAAAUGAGGAAUAAAACUUAAAUGAGUUUCCAGAGAAUCCCUGAUGAAUGUACCACUAGAUUGGGAUGCUUUUCAAUCUUUGAGACGUUGGGGACCUGGCAACCCCACCUACUCAGCCUGAAGCUCAGCCUGAAAGAAGGAAGUAAGAAGGAUCUAUAAACAACUAGAACAGACCCUCCUCCAAGACCCUGUACAAAUUGUGUUCCCAUUAUUCCCAGGAGAAUCACUCUGGGCUUCAACUGGUACCUUACUCUUACUUGAUUGUCAUUAACAACUUUACAGUAUUAACCUUGCCAAUUCCAUGUCUGACCACUUCUAUACCAUGUCAUCUACUCUCCGGUUAUCAUCCUCAUGUCCCCUCCAAUGGAAAUUUGGAAUCUUUCCUUGAGUCUCCAUGACUUUGAUAGGUGAGAUCUUACCUUAUCUUACUAUGGUCCAGGCUUUUCCAUCAGUUCCCAGAUAUGUCCUCCCCAUACUCCCUCACUAGCCUCAUCUUCAACUUUCGGAUUCCCCUUUAUGUUGUCUUCUUUCCUUGGAACAUGAGCUGUAUUGAUUGCUUGUAUUUAUGUCCAUAGAAUUUACCCCAGUAUAGUAGUGCUUAUAGUAAAUGCUUAAUAAAUGUUCUAUCUGCCUAUCUAUCUAUCUAUCUAUCUAUCUAUCUAUCUAUCUAUCUACUUACCUACCUAUCCAUCCAACUAUCUAUCUAUCUACCUACCUACCUAGCUAGAUAUCAUUCAUCUAGCUAUGUAUCCAUAUAACCAUCCAUCCAUCCAUCCAUCCAUCCAACUAUCUAUCCAUCUACCUACCUACCUAGCUAGAUAUCAUUCAUCUAGCUAUGUAUCCAUAUAACCAUCUAUCCAUCUAUUCAUCCAUCCAUUUAUCAUCCAUCUAGCUGGGUGUCCAUCUCUCCAUCUCUCCAUCCAUCUAUCAAUUCAUUUAGCUGGUUAUCCCUCUAUCUAUUUCAUCAUCUUGUAUCCAAGCCUUUUCCAGAAUAGAAGUAGCACAUUCAUAGUAGGAGAAGAGGUUGACCCAUUGACAAUCAGCAGAAAGUGACAGAGGGGAAGAGACAGAAAUGUUAUGGGGAAAAAAGCAGAUAUGAGAAUUUUUAAAAGCCCAGAAACUUAGGCUAUUCAUUUAAUGUAGGGAAAACCAUCCCUCACACUUCAGUGGUCCCUGAAGGAUUUGUCACUAUAUACUAAAUUGGGUAAUUGGUGACCAUCAUGGUGACCCUGACUCUUCAAGACAAGGUUGAGCUAAAUUCCUUAUACUAAGAGUUUUGGGGGUCUGUGUAUAGAUUUCAGAGGAUCAAUGAACUUGGGUGGGAAAAAUACAGCUUUAUCUCACUAGAAUGGGUAUGUUUUGUAAUUAUAUCUAUUUUAUGUAUUUAAAAAUAUUAUCUUGAGAAUGGGUGCAUGGACUUCACCAAAGUGCCAAAGGUGGCCAGGACACAAACAAGGUUAAGAACCCCUGCCCUAUAUUGAGAUGUGGAAGUGGUCCUUCUCCAAGAUCAUAUUUCUGAGCUGUGUGCCUAUAUGACCUCAAGCAAGUCACUCAGCCUUUCAGGCUCUCUAGACUGGCAACGGAAGAGAAGAUGAUAAUCCACAUAUGACAGAGGGACGUCCCUUUGACUAGUGAAGUCACAGACCCACUCGCCAAGUCGCCACCCUCAUAAGCACAAAAUUGCCAGCUAACAUGCUCAUUCUCUGCUGCUGGCUUGGCCCCAACAGGCCAUUUUGAUCAGUGAUCCCUGUUGCAACAUUUAGGUCAAAGGAGCACAGGGAACCCUGGGCUAUCAGGCGAGCCCUCCCGGCGGAUAGACAGCCUGCCCUUCCUUGGAAAGGGGAAGCAGCAUCAGCGGCAAGAGCUUCUGGAAAGAGAGCCAAUGCCUUCUUUAUGCCCCAUCAUUUAGUAAACAGACAAGCACUGGUUAACUGAGUGCCUACUAUAUGUCAGGCUAUGGGCUAAGUGCUGGGGAUACAAAGAAAAAGCAAAAAAUUCUGGGCCUCAAAGACCUUAUUCUAAACAGGAAAGAAAAACACCAGGACCUGCAAGGAUUGGCGGAAAGAAAAAAAUAUUGUCAACCUUGAAUGCAACCUCUGUGCCCUUGGGCAGGCAAGUCAACCUCUUUGCGAUUCCAUUUCCUUGAUAUCAAAAUGGCGACCACAGUAUCUCUACCAUUGACUACCACAUGUAGAUGUGCAAGGCUUUUCUCCUUUUGAAUUGCUUUGUAUUUAUACUUUGUACUUACUUUCUUGCCUAUAUGUUUAUAGGUGCCCUCAGUAGAUUGUAAAUUCCUUGAGGGCAGGAUCUUUUUUUGUUGUUCAUACUUUGUAUUGAAUAAAUAUU